GUUAGAGGUGGCAGGUAGCCUAGUGGUUAGAGGUGGCAGGUAGCCUAGUGGUUAGAGGUGGCAGGUAGCCUAGUGGUUAGAGGUGGCAGGUAGCCUAGUGGUUAGAGGUGGCAGGUAGCCUAGUGGUUAGAGGUGGCAGGUAGCCUAGUGGUUAGAGGUG